CUCAUUUCUACUUCCACUGCCACCCACCUCUAGGACUCUUCCUCUGAGAAGAAGAGUCGCUUGGGGUCUUCUGAGAAGCAGACGCCAAAACAAGAUUAGACAUGCAAGAGGUUUAUUGGGGAAACACCUGUGCAGGAUAAAGAAGAAAACACGCCCUUGCCUUGGAGUGACGCAGAAUGCCAGCUUUUCCUUUCCCAGACGUACCUCUCCGUCUUUUGGUAUAGUCCCACUAAUGAACCAGGGCUCGUUCUGGGAAGUUCUGGAGGAAAUAAGCCCUAGGCCUGCGGCCCAACCUGGCCUUUGGGGCCCCAGGGGAAGGCUGCCGUAUUAAGGGGGCCCAUGCCCUCAUCGCUGCAGGAGACAAGGGAGCGAGCACUUGGCUGCGCCACAGAAAUUACUGCUGUACCUCGAAUGCCCGCUUCAUUUAUCAAUUUCAUAGCAGAAAAACCCAUAUGACUGCCUUGUUCACUCGCACGCUAAAUCUAGUCACAGAAAGCUCCUCACCGCCAGUCAAGUGUGUUAUGCGCGGGCUUAGAGAAAGUAACUUGAAAUACCACUAAUGAUUUAUACUUAAUUGAACCUCUAAGUGAUUAAAGUGGCAGUAAUGAAUGAAUAACACCCUCCUCGUUCCCUCACCCACUCGGCCCAGCGACUCCGGGCAGAGCGGGCCUCGCCUUGGGAAGUCAGCUACAAAGGCCGGCGUGAACCAUUCUCUCAGCUUCCCCCAAGCCGCUCAUCUGGGUCCUGGCUAAAUUGCUCUCGCUUGCAGCAAAUGACUCCAUAAGCACCAUAUCAGACCAUUGAUCCUUUUUAUUAGAUUACCCAAUUGUAAGGUUAAUGCAUUUGCAUUUGCCAAACGGAGUGGGUCAGCCUGAAUCCCACACGGGGAUCCACGUUUAAACGGACACACAGCCGAGGAGAGUGGCUCUGUCAACGUAUUGAUUUGUUGGAACAGGAACCAGCUGGAUGCUGAUACCCUUGCCUCAGCCCACCCCCUACCUCCAAAAGAAAGUGCAGGAGAACACACUUCCCGGGCUGUGUCUUCCUUAGCACAAACCCCCUUGACAGCCAGGAGGCCAACGCCAGCGGCCACCCACAAUACUUCUGUUUCUGGAAGAAAGAAGGGCCCUGCAAAGGUUUCGGUCACCUCAGACACAGACAAAGGUGGGCCAUUCACCUUGGACCAGGAACCUGGCUGCUUUCUCUAAAUGAGGGAGAGCCAGGACUUGUGACAAGGACACAAGCUUCAGAAGCCAAAAAUUCUUCUUUUCUGAACAUCAUAGAGUCAGACUGGGGCAGCCAUUUCUCC
rnacentral:lncRNA from 1 species